rnacentral:lncRNA from 1 species
CAGCAGGAAGACAGACAUCUGCAAGCCAAGAAGAGAGCUCUCACCAGAAAAUGAAAUGAGCCCACACCUUGGUCAUGGACUUCUACCCUCUAGAACUGCCCAGAGGACUGUGAGACCACAGACAAUGAGGCUGCAUGAUGGUGGGACCCCUGUGAUUAUUAGGAAACUGAGAUCCUGACAACUGUGAAACUGCAAGUCUGUGGAAUCUUUCUGCCUCUACUCCAAGCCUCUGCUUAGUCAUCUAAAUUCCCCUGGCCAAAAAGAGCGGAAAAGGGGCUGGCCCCGUGGCCGAGUGGUUAAGUUCGCGCGCUCUGCUGCAGGCGGCCCAGUGUUUCGUUGGUUCGAAUCCUGGGCGCGGACAUGGCACUGCUCAUCAAACCACGAUGAGGCAGCGUCCCACAUGCCACAACUAGAAGGACCCACAACGAACAAUAUACAACUAUGUACCGGGGG